AUUGAACGCUGGCGGCAGGCCUAACACAUGCAAGUCGAGCGGAUGAAGGGAGCUUGCUCCUGGAUUCAGCGGCGGACGGGUGAGUAAUUCCUAGGAAUCUGCCUGGUAGUGGGGGAUAACGUCCGGAAACGGGCGCUAAUACCGCAUACGUCCUGAGGGAGAAAGUGGGGGAUCUUCGGACCUCACGCUAUCAGAUGAGCCUAGGUCGGAUUAGCUAGUUGGUGGGGUAAAGGCCUACCAAGGCGACGAUCCGUAACUGGUCUGAGAGGAUGAUCAGUCACACUGGAACUGAGACACGGCCCAGACUCCUACGGGAGGCAGCAGUGGGGAAUAUUGGACAAUGGGCGAAAGCCUGAUCCAGCCAUGCCGCGUGUGUGAAGAAGGUCUUCGGAUUGUAAAGCACUUUAAGUUGGGAGGAAGGGCAGUAAGUUAAUACCUUGCUGUUUUGACGUUACCAAAAGAAUAAGCACCGGCUAACUUCGUG
rnacentral:rRNA from 1 species